GAGUCUUCCAGGGCCUUCCGGGGCACGCUGGACUGUUCCGGAAGCAUUUUGGAGCUGUUUUGAGCCUGUUUUGGGGCGAAAAUAGUGUCGUCCGUAACAAAUAUGUUUGGAUGUCCGUGGUCCAUGCAAUUAGAGCUAAUACCGUCAUGCCAUGUCAGUGUCACAACAAUUAUUUAAGCACUUGCUGAAUGCCUCUGCCUGAUUGACACGUGGAGGAAGCAGGAGUGACUUAAAACAGAGCCCUCUAAUUUGCUUCUUUCCUUUGACUUCCUGCUACUUUGGUAAACCAUCCCAUCAAAUCCUUAAUUAGUUGCAGUCGUAGAAACGUUGUUUAUAUAUCCCAUUGUUUUUUUUUGGGUAGGUAAAUAGUGACAACAAUAACUUAUAACGUUAUAAUAAAUCUAAGCACAUGUAAGUAGCUCUUACAAUAUGAGAUGGGUAAACCUAGGUUUUGUUGGUUUUUAUUUUUAAUUAAAAAUUGAGGUGAAAGGGAAAUAAAGGAAAAAUAAAAUUUUAAUUUUUUCUUCUUUACAAAGGAACAUUGUCUCAUUAGACAAAACCUGCAAAUAGUGGGUCUCAAAGUUGUCCAUGUAAAAAGAGAAAUAGAACGCAUUACAAUAUUGCAUUUUAGUAAAAUACAAUAUUAUAAUGCGUUUUACCUUAAUAGCUAGAAAAGUAACUUUUAGCCAUAAAUUGCCAUUAAAUGUGAUUUGCUACUGAUUCAUGAACUAAAAAGGUCAAAUUGCCAAUUUCUUGGGUAACUCUGCUGAAUGGACAGACAUAGCAACAUUUUCUUUUUCAAACUGUUUCCAUUUAAAUACUACCAUAAUGCUUUAAUGGUAGGUAAAUCCUUUGAUCAACCAUUUGCUAUAACAAUAAUUAUUAUGGCAUAAUUUCAAAUAUUAUUAUUACUUUUCGGGAAGAAUUUAGUUGAGCUAUAAAAAAUAAAUGGCAUGCACUUAAAAGAUUUUCUUCUUUAUUCCUUUAGUUCUUGUUAACUUGGAUUAAUUUUACUUUACAAUGUCUUUUGUAACGCAUACUUUGAGCUAAUUAGCUCCAAAUUGAUUUUUUGACUUACUUUCUAACAAAAGUACUAUAAAUCAGAAGAUAAUACUCUCAUUACUAUACUCAAUAAAAAAAUUGAGUCUUCUUCAGGGGUGGCUCAAAUCUAAGUUGCUCGGAUGCGGAUGCAGGUAUUCGACAUAAGUGCGGAUCCUUCGAGAUGUAAAUUCUAAGAUUCGAAGAUACGGAUCCUAAUAUGAAUAUGAUGGGGGGACCGGCCAAAAAUAAUUCAAAAAAUAUAAAAAUAUAUCUAAAUUAUGAGAGCCAGAACGAAAUGGACAUGUGAGCGAUCAACUACGAGAACUCGACCUAUCAAAAUUUUGUGGAAUACUUAUGUAUAGCUUAUAAAGUAUGCAUUUUUUUUUUAUUCUCAAAUUGUAGAUAAGUAGAUGAUUGAUUACCUAGAUAAAGUACGCUAUUUUCUUCAAAUUAAUCCUAGUUUUGAUUCUGAUUUCGGGCAACAAAUUGUAUCUUGUCUCGAAUUUUUUCACUUGUCACGGUCAAAGUCAAUUAUUUUACCAUAUUCAGUACGGAUCCCAUACCCACACCCUUUCUAGUAUCGUGUCGACACGGAUAUGACAUCUAAACUGCCAUGUCAGAGUUAUUUAGGCUCAAACACAUGUGUGACCUAAAAUCAAAGUUUAAUAUGAGAUCUAAAAUUUUUUAGAAGGUUAUGCUAUAUAUUUUUAUUUGAAGUCUAUUUUUCUAUCUUUUCGAGAUGCAAAGUUGUUAAUAAUUUUUUUUGUAAUCGAUUUCCUAAAAGUUCCUUCUCAAGUGAUAAUAUAGCCAAUCCAUUUAAUCUAUAUUGGAACAUUAUUAACCACAGUUAAAAUUUUAUGAAUUAUAAUCUUGAAAAAAGUCUUUCCUUUGAGGCAAUUGUUAUAAAAAAAACUCCACUUUCGUAUAAAAUGUACUAAAUAUUAUUUUUUUAAAUGCCUAUAAACCUAUUAUUUUAAAAAAAUGAAACUCCCAAAAUUUAGGGGCCUACGGCACAAGCCUUACUUGGAACAAUAUUAGAGCCGGUCUUGGUCUUCUUUCACACGCCUAUAUAAUAUUGUUCACGGAAAAAUGAAGAUAUUACUCACAACAUAAAGAUGCUUUUUAAAAGUGAAAUAAAUAAAAAUUUACUAAUAUCUCAAUAAUAAUUAAAUAGAUUGGCUAUAUUAUCAAUUUGGAAGAAAAUAUUAGAAGAAAUUAACUGUAAAAUAUAAUUAAUAUCUUCGCCUCCAAAGGCCUUUAAUAACGAUUCAACUUUAGAUUACCAAAUGUGAUUGGGAGUGCUUACAUUUAUGGAGAUUUACUUAUCUUUGACAAACAGAAAAGAAAAGAAUAAUAUGGAUGGUUGCCAAGUAAAAUUAAACUCUUGAGCACAUUGCCAUAAUUCAAAGUAAUUGACAAAGCGGCAGAGGUUUAUAUAGUACUUGAUUGUCUAAGUAUGGCAAAAAUGAACAAGGUUUUCUCAAAAAAGUGUACAUCUUUUGCUUUCAUUUCACUUGAGUAAAACUAAUUUGAACACCCUUGUUGCUUAAAAUUUUGUUUUCCCUUUAAAAAGGGUUUCCGUGUAAACUUGUAAAGUAUCAGCAAUAGGCUACGCUUCCAUCUUACAACAAUAACUCAGUAUAAUCUCACAUAGUGGGGUUUGGGGAGAGUAGUAUGUACGCAAACCUUACCUCUACUUCUGGGGUUGAGAGACUGUUCCCAAAUAGAAACUCAGCAUCCUUCCCUCCAAGAACUUCCCACCUUGCUCUUGGGGAGACUCGAACUCACAACCUCUCGAUUGGAAAUAAGAAUUGCUUACCAUCAGAGCAACCCCUCUUGUCUUUCGCUUCCAUCUUACUUCACAUUUAAACCAAAAAAGUAUCAAGUUUAGCUAUUGAACAUAUUCCAAAUAAGAGGUUCAUUUACAUUCCCAGCGAAGAUAAGUAUACCACUCAUCUUUUC
rnacentral:lncRNA from 1 species